AGGCCUGAGGCGCGGUCGACCACCCGCUGAACUUAAGCAUAUCAUUAAGCGGAGGAAAAGAAAACAACCGUGAUUCCCCUAGUAGCGGCGAGCGAAGCGGGAGAAGCCCAAUCCGAAUCGGCGCAGCCGAGUUGUGGAGUAGUGAGGACGCCAGGGCGGACGUCGCGUGCACCAAAGUCUUCCUGGAAAGGAGCGCCAGAGAGGGUGAUAGCCCCGUGUACGUGCGCGCGCGCCCGCGCGACCCGGUGUCUGCGGAGUAGUACUGCUUGGGAAUGCAGUGCGAACGGCAGGUAUACCUCUGCCAAGGCUAAAUAUCAUGGGGAGACCGAUAGCGAACAAGUAGCGUGAGCGAAAGAUGAAAAGCACUUUGGAGAGAGAGUGAAACAGCACCUGAAGCUGUUGUGAGGUAAGGGAUGGAUCACUAUCCAAGGCGGCGCGACGGAAU
rnacentral:ncRNA from 1 species